AUGAUUGCGAAUGGUCGCCUUCAGUGCUGGCUCUUGCAAGUGCACGCUGGUGGCUUUCAUCCAAUACCCUGUGCACCUUAGCCUCUAGUGAGCUAGCUUCGGCUGGCAGAGGAUUUUUAUUUACACACUCGAAUGUAAUGAAAACUAGCGUCGUGCGCAAGCACUAAUGUA
rnacentral:misc_RNA from 1 species